rnacentral:rRNA from 1 species
AUUGAACGCUGGCGGCAGGCUUAACACCUGCAAGUCGAGCGAGCGGCGGACGGGUGAGUAAUGUAUGGGAAACUGCCUGAUGGAGGGGGCUAACUACUGGAAACGGUAGCUAAUACCGCAUACCAUCAGAUGUAACCAUAUGGGAUUAGCUAGUAGGUAGGGUAAUGGCUCACCUAGGCGACGAUCCCUAGCUGGUCUGAGAGGAUGACCAGCCACACUGGGACUGAGACACGGCCCAGACGCCUACGGGAGGCAGCAGUGGGGAAGAUUGCACAAUGGGCGCAAGCCUGAUGCAGCCAUGCCGCGUGUGUGAAGAAGGCCUUCGGGUUGUAAAGCACUUUCAGUCGGGAGGCGUUACCCACAGAAGAAGCACCGGCUAACUCCGUGCCAGCAGCCGCGGUAAUUC